rnacentral:rRNA from 1 species
AUUGAACGCUGGCGGCCGGCUUAACACAUGCAAGUCGAGCGGUAACAGAGAGUAGUUUACUAUCCUGCUGACGAGCGGCGGACGGGUGAGUAAUGCCUAGGAAUCUGCCUAUUAGUGGGGGAUAACGAAUCGAAAGGUUCGCUAAUACCGCAUACGUCCUACGGGAGAAAGGGGGGGAUCUUCGGACCUCUCGCUAAUAGAUGAGCCUAGGCCGGAUUAGCUAGUUGGUAGGGUAAAGGCCUACCAAGGCGACGAUCUGUAGCUGGUCUGAGAGGAUGGCCAGCCACACUGGAACUGAGACACGGUCCAGACUCCUACGGGAGGCAGCAGUGGGGAAUAUUGGACAAUGGGGGCAACCCUGAUCCAGCCAUGCCGCGUGUGUGAAGAAGGCCUCGGUUGUAAGU